ACAUGCCUACAACAUAGUGUUAAUGCACCAGAUCCCAUUAGAACUCUACAAUUAAGCACGCUCGGGCUAAAGUAGUACUAGGAUGGGUGACCACCCAAGAAGUCCUAAUGUUUUACAUGUC
rfam:Picea glauca, whole genome shotgun sequence.